rnacentral:sRNA from 1 species
AGCAGCCGCGGUAACUCCAGCUCCAAUAGCGUAUAUUAAAGUUGUUGCAGUUAAAAAGCUCGUAGUUGAAUUUCGGGAUCAGCAGGUUGGUCGUGCCUACGGUAUGAACUGGCCUUGCUGAUUCCUCCCUCUUGAUGAGCCGUAAUGCCAUUAAUUUGGUGUUGCGGGGAAUCGAGGACUGUUACUUUAGAAAAAUUAGAGUGUUUAAAGCAGGCAAGCGCUUGAAUACAUUAGCAUGGAAUAAUGAAAUAGGACGUUUGAUCCUAUUUUGUUGGUUUCUAGGAUUGACGUAAUGAUUAA